UAGGGAAUUUUCCACAAUGGGCGAAAGCCUGAUGGAGCAACGCCGCGUGAACGAUGAAGGCCUUCGGGUUGUAAAGUUCUGUUGUCAGGGACGAACAAGUACCGUUCGAACAGGGCGGUACCUUGACGGUACCUGACGAGGAAGCCACGGCUAACUACGUGCCAGCAGCCGCGGUAAUACGUAGGUGGCAAGCGUUGUCCGGAAUUAUUGGGCGUAAAGCGCGCGCAGGCGGCCGGGUAAGUCUGAUGUGAAAGCCCGGGGCUCAACCCCGGUGUGCAUUGGAAACUGUCCGGCUUGAGUGCAGGAGAGGAAAGCGGUAUUCCACGUGUAGCGGUGAAAUGCGUAGAGAUGUGGAGGAACACCAGUGGCGAAGGCGGCUUUCUGGCCUGUAACUGACGCUGAGGCGCGAAAGCGUGGGGAGCAAACA
rnacentral:rRNA from 1 species